rnacentral:rRNA from 1 species
CGGCGACUUAUAGUUAGUGGCAGGUUAAGGUAGUGAAUACUGAAGCCAUAGUGAAAGCGAGCCUGAAUAGGGCGUUUGUCACUAGUUAUAGACCCGAACCCGGAUGAUCUAACCAUGGUCAGGUUGAAGCUCAGGUAAUACUGAGUGGAGGACCGAACCGACUGAUGUUGAAAAAUCAGCGGAUGAAUUGUGGUUAGGGGUGAAAUGCCAAUCGAAUUCGGAGCUAGCUGGUUCUCCCCGAAAUGCGUUUUGGCGCAGCGGUAAAUGUUAUAAUCUAGGGGUAAAGCACUGUUACGUAUGCGGGCUGGUAAUUCGGUACCAAAUCGUUGCAAACUAAGAAUACUAGAUGUAUAGUUUACCAGUAAGACUGUGGGGGAUAAGCUCCAUUGUCAAGAGGGAAACAGCCCAGAGCACCAGUUAAGGCCCUUAAAUAAUUACUAAGUGGUAAAGGAGGUGGGAGUGCAUAAACAAUCAGGAGGUUUGCUUAGAAGCAGCAAUCCUUUAAAGAGUGCGUAAUAGCUCACUGAUCGAGUAAACCUGCGCCGAAAAUGUAUGGGACUAAGUAAUUUGCCGAAACUGUGCGAUAUAUAUUUAUAUAUCGGUAGGGGAGCGUUCUGUUGUAGGUCGAAGUAUUAGCGUAAGCGGAUAUGGACGAAGCAGAAGUGAGAAUGUCGGCUUGAGUAACGAAAAUAUAGGUGAGAAUCCUAUACCCCGAAAACCCAAGGUUUCCUCCGGAAGGCUCGUCCGCGGAGGGUAAGUCAGGACCUAAGGCGAGGCUGAAAAGCGUAGUCGAUGGACAACGGGUUAAUAUUCCCGUACCAUUUUUUAUUGAUAUCGAGGGACGGAGAAGGCUAAGCUAGCCGGAUAUUGGUUUUACCGGUUUAAACGUUCGAGAUGUUGAGAAGCGGCGAAAACGCUUUGAGUUGAGACGUGAAUACGAGACGCUAAGGCGUCGAAGUAGUGUAUGUCAUACUUCCAAGAAAAGCUUGCACUGUCAUAAAUAAAAAAUGCCUGUACCAUAACCGACACAGGUGGGUAGGUAGAGUAUACUAAGGGGCGCGAGAUAACUCUCUCUAAGGAACUCGGCAAAAUAACUCCGUAACUUCGGGAGAAGGAGUGCCUUAUUCUUAAGGUUGCAAUAACAAGAUCCAAGCAACUGUUUAUCAAAAACACAGGUCUCCGCUAAGUCGUAAGACGAUGUAUGGGGGCUGACGCCUGCCCAGUGCCAGAAGGUUAAAGAAGUUGGUUAGCAAUUGCGAAGCUGGUAACUGAAGCCCUGGUGAACGGCGGCCGUAACAAUAACGGUCCUAAGGUAGCGAAAUUCCUUGUCGGGUAAGUUCCGACCUGCACGAAUGGCGUAACGACUUCCCCACUGUCUCCAACAUAGACUCAGCGAAAUUGAAUUCC